GGUAGGAUGGCUGAGUACCAAGCGGUGGAUUGUAGACCCAUAGACAGAGGUUCAAAUCCUCUUCUUACCA
rnacentral:tRNA from 1 species